rnacentral:rRNA from 1 species
GGAUUGCAGGCUGAAACCCGCCUGCAUGAAGUUGGAAUUGCUAGUAAUCGCGGAUCAGCAUGCCGCGGUGAAUACGUUCCCGGGCCUUGUACACACCGCCCGUCACACCAUGAGAGUCGGGAACACCCGAAGUCCGUAGUCUAACCGCAAGGAGGGCGCGGCCGAAGGUGGGUUCGAUAAUUGGGGUGAAGUCGUAACAAGGUAAC